GUCAUUUCUCCAUCUUUCGCUGCCCUCACUCAGGCUUUCGAACCCUUGGCUGAGCUGGCACGGAACAUGUGGCGCCCAACACGGGGCUGAGUUCGGGGGAACUGCAGUUGUCAGGUGAAAGGACGCUCUAGUGAAGCAUGUGCGGAAAACAAAAAAGAAGAGCGUUUCUGGGAGCACAGAUUGUCCUGUGACAACUCCAGGAGGACACAGCGUCCCCAUGCAGGAGCUGCUGGGAUCAGCUGGGACCAACCGUCAACAGCAGCAAGGCCCUAUGGCGGCUGGCCCCUAGGCAGGCCGCUCGGCUCGACAGGAGGCACCUGGGCACCUGCUUCAUCCAACCUUCCAGGACCCACCUGUGUCUCUAGGCCUCGCUCCUCAACUCUGGACACCAGGGAGUACCAUCCAGAGUCUCUGAGCACACUCGUCUCAUCUCCCCUGCCCUGGAGUCCCCCAGUC